GCUGGUCUGGAACUCCUGACCUCAUGAUCUGCCCGCCUCAGCCUCCCAAAGUGCUGGGAUUACAGGCGUGAGCCACCAUGCCCAGUCGACAUAUUCACAUUUUUAAUAGGAAUAACAGUAUACUAAAAUCUAUUUAGUGCAUGUUUUAAGAUUUGAAGAUGUAAUUUGACUCAGUACUUUCCACUUGCAUUUUUUUCUUCAUUCUGUGCCUGCUAAGACUAUUCUAAUACUUUAUUAUAGUUAACCCCUGAGGAAAGAGCUCCCAGAGCUUACGGUGCAUUUGGUUGAUGUCAUAUGGACUAUUCAUUAUUUUCUAAAUUAUUUUGUUUGUAUAAAGCAAUCUGAAGAGGAUGUAAGUUAGUUUGACUCCAAGUUUACACGUCAGACACCUGUCGACAGCCCAGAUGACUCAACUCUCAGUGAAAGUGCCAAUCAGGUCUUUCUGAUGCCACUGUGAGAAUGGGAACAAUGGAACAGGCCCUCACCAAAUGCCAAAUGUGCUAUCACCUUGAUUUUGGAUUUCCCAGCCUCUGGAACUGUGAGGAAUAAAUUUUUUGCUUAUAAAUUA